rnacentral:rRNA from 1 species
AUUGAACGCUGGCAGCAUGCCUUACACAUGCAAGUCGAACGGCAGCACGGGUGCUUGCACCUGGUGGCGAGUGGCGAACGGGUGAGUAAUACAUCGGAACAUGUCCUGUAGUGGGGGAUAGCCCGGCGAAAGCCGGAUUAAUACCGCAUACGAUCUACGGAUGAAAGCGGGGGACCUUCGGGCCUCGCGCUAUAGGGUUGGCCGAUGGCUGAUUAGCUAGUUGGUGGGGUAAAGGCCUACCAAGGCGACGAUCAGUAGCUGGUCUGAGAGGACGACCAGCCACACUGGGACUGAGACACGGCCCAGACUCCUACGGGAGGCAGCAGUGGGGAAUUUUGGACAAUGGGCGAAAGCCUGAUCCAGCAAUGCCGCGUGUGUGAAGAAGGCCUUCGGGUUGUAAAGCACUUUUGUCCGGAAAGAAAUCCUUGGCCCUAAUACGGUCGGGGGAUGACGGUACCGGAAGAAUAAGCACCGGCUAACUACGU